AACGACUCUCGGCAACGGAUAUCUCGGCUCUCGCAUCGAUGAAGAACGUAGCGAANUGCGAUACUUGGUGUGAAUUGCAGAAUCCCGUGAACCAUCGAGUCUUUGAACGCAAGUUGCGCCCGAAGCCAUUAGGUUGAGGGCACGUCUGCCUGGGCGUCANGCA
rnacentral:rRNA from 1 species